rnacentral:lncRNA from 1 species
AAACUUAGCUCCAACAAUGUGAACAUAGUAUAUAUUUGCUGCAAAAACUUAUGGUUAGUCACAAUAAUACAUUUUGAUGGAAGAUUACUUAUUAAGACAUUUUGUUAGCUUCUAUUACUUUUCUCACAACCAGGAGUUGACACAGGACCAGUUAACUAUUGUAUUCACCCAUAAGAAAAUAAGUCCAAUUGUUCCAAGUGCCUGCUGAACUCUUUCUGCAUAUUCCCCUCAUAGUUUAUGGAUGCAUGAACAAUAUCAUUACAAUGUUGCAAAAUUUUCCAUACCAAAUUUGUUAU